GAUCCUGGCUCAGGAUGAACGCUGGCGGCGUGCUUAACACAUGCAAGUCGAACGGGAAAUACUUUAUUGAAACUUUGGUGGAUUUAAUUUAUUUCUAGUGGCGGACGGGUGAGUAACGCGUGGGUAACCUGCCUUAUACUGGGGGAUAACAGCCAGAAAUGACUGCUAAUACCGCAUAAGCGCACAGAACCGCAUGGUUCCGUGUGAAAAACUCCGGUGGUAUAAGAUGGACCCGCGUUGGAUUAGCUAGUUGG
rnacentral:rRNA from 1 species